rnacentral:rRNA from 1 species
UGGCGGACGGGUGAGUAAUGUCUGGGAAACUGCCCGAUGGAGGGGGAUAACUACUGGAAACGGUAGCUAACACCGCAUAACGUCGCAAGACCAAAGAGGGGGACCUUAGGGCCUCUUGCCAUCGGAUGUGCCCAGAUGGGAUUAGCUAGUAGGUGGGGUAACGGCUCACCUAGGCGACGAUCCCUAGCUGGUCUGAGAGGAUGACCAGCCACACUGGAACUGAGACACGGUCCAG